rnacentral:rRNA from 1 species
CAUACGGGUGGCAGCAGUGAGGAAUAUUGGUCAAUGGGCGCGAGCCUGAACCAGCCAAGUAGCGUGAAGGCUGACUGCCCUACGGGUUGUAAACUUCUUUUAUAAAGGAAUAAAGUGAGGCACGUUUGCCUUUUUGUAUGUAUUUUAUGAAUAAGGAUCGGCUAACUCCGUGACAGCAGCCGCGGUAAUACGGAGGAUCCGAGCGUUAUCCGGCUUUAUUGGGUUUAAAGGGAGCGUAGAUGGGUUGGUAAGUCAGUUGUGAAAGUUUGCGGAUCAACCGUAAAAUUGCAAUUGAUACUGGCAGCCUUGAGUACAGUUGAGGUAGGCGGAAUUCGUGGUGUAGCGGUGAAAUGCUGAGAUAUCACGAAGAACUCCGAUUGCGAAGGCAGCCUACUAAACUGCCACUGACAUUGAUGCUCGAAAGUGUGGGUAUCAAACAGGAUUAGAUACCCGAGUAGUC